AUUGAACGCUGGCGGCAGGCUUAACACAUGCAAGUCGAGCGGAGAGAGGUAGCUUGCUACUGAUCUUAGCGGCGGACGGGUGAGUAAUGCUUAGGAAUCUGCCUAUUAGUGGGGGACAACAUUUCGAAAGGAAUGCUAAUACCGCAUACGUCCUACGGGAGAAAGCAGGGGAUCUUCGGACCUUGCGCUAAUAGAUGAGCCUAAGUCGGAUUAGCUAGUUGGUGGGGUAAAGGCCUACCAAGGCGACGAUCUGUAGCGGGUCUGAGAGGAUGUGCAGCCCACCUGGGACUGAGACACGGCCCAGACUGCUACGGGAGGCAGCAGUGGGGAAUAUUGGACAAAGGGCGGAAGCCUGAUCCAGCCAUGCCGCGUGUGUGAAGAAGGCCUUAUGGUUGUAAAGCACUUUAAGCGAGGAGGAGGCUACUUUAGUUAAUACCUAGAGAUAGUGGACGUUACUCGCAGAAUAAGCACCGGCUAACUCUGUGCCAGCAGCCGCGGUAA
rnacentral:rRNA from 1 species